rnacentral:lncRNA from 1 species
UACCACCAUAUAUGCAUAUUAGACAAAAUUUAUUGUAAGAAUGGGAUAGUAAAUAGCCAGAAACAUUCAUGCUAAUACUAGAAUGAGAGUGAGUAUUAGAGGAUUAUGUCUUGGAAAGAGAGUGCUUGCAACACUCCAUAUCAUAUCAAUUUAACUCAUGUACUACGCCACCCUCACACCCAAAACAUGCGUCCGUAUAUGAUCUCCAAUUGUCAAAUACGUAACUCUAUCACCUCACUCAAGUAUCUUAUGAUUAAGUGGAAAUAUGGAGGAUCGCAGUUCGAUUCCUCGCAACUGCGAUUGAAAGAGG